UACGAAGGGGGCUAGCGUUGCUCGGAAUCACUGGGCGUAAAGCGCACGUAGGCGGAUCUUUAAGUCAGGGGUGAAAUCCCAAGGCUCAACCUUGGAACUGCCUUUGAUACUGGGGAUCUCGAGUCCGGAAGAGGUUGGUGGAACUGCGAGUGUAGAGGUGAAAUUCGUAGAUAUUCGCAAGAACACCAGUGGCGAAGGCGGCCAACUGGUCCGGUACUGACGCGUGAGGUGCGAAAGCGUGGG
rnacentral:rRNA from 1 species